GACGAACCGUGCGAACGUUGUUCGGAAUCACUGGGCUUAAAGGGCGCGUAGGCGGCUUGCCAAGUCAGUGGUGAAAUCCUGCAGCUUAACUGCAGAAGUGCCUUUGAUACUGGCGAGCUAGAGGGAGGUAGGGGUAUGUGGAACUUCUGGUGGAGCGGUGAAAUGCGUUGAUAUCAGAAGGAACGCCGGUGGCGAAAGCGACGUACUGGACCUUUUCUGACGCUGAGGCGCGAAAGCUAGGGGAG
rnacentral:rRNA from 1 species